GGGGAGACCGUCGCCAGACUGAAAAUCAAAAGAAUUGACGGGGGACCGCACAAGCAGUUGAGUAUGUGGUUUUAUUUGGAGCAACGCGGAGAACCCUUACCGGUUCUGACAUUCCUUUUGACGGUUUAGAGGAUAGCCUUUCCUUUCGGACCGGAGAGGCCAGUGGUGCCAUGUUGUUGUCAACUCGUGUUGUGGGGAGGUGGGGUUAGUUCCGCCACGAGGGCCACCCCUGGUUUUUGUUGCCCGCCCCUUAAGGUGGGCACUCUAGAAUGACUGCCGGUGACAAACCGGAGGAAGGCGGGGAUGACGUCAAAUCAUCAUGCCCCUUAUGACCUGGGCUACACACGUACUACAAUGGCCAGUACAACGGGAAGCGAAGUCGCGAGAUGGAGCCAAUCCUAUCAAAGCUGGUCUCAGUUCGGAUUGCAGGCUGCAACCCGCCUGCAUGAAGUCGGAAUUGCUAGUAAUCGCGGAUCAGCAUGCCGCGGUGAAUACGUUCCCGGGUCUUGUACACACCGCCCGUCACACCACGAGAGUUUACAACACCCGAAGUCGGUGGGGUAACCGCAAGAGCCAGCCGCCGA
rnacentral:rRNA from 1 species